GAAAUGCGAUAAGUAAUGUGAAUUGCAAAAUUCCGUGAAUCAUCGAAUCUUUGAACGCACAUUGCGCCCUCUGGCAUUCCGGGGGGCAUGCCUGUCCGAGCGUCAUUACGCACCCUCAAGCCCGGCUUGUGUGAUGGGCCCCGGCGUCUCGUUCGCGAGACGGGCCCGAAAGGCAGCGGCGGCGUCGACCCGAUGAGCCCGAGCGUAUGGGGACUUCUGUCACACGUUCGCGGUGCGGACCGGCGCCUGCUUGACUUUUCUGAUUAUCCAGGUUGACCUCGGAUCAGGUAGGGAUACCCGCUGAACUUAAGC
rnacentral:misc_RNA from 1 species